GAUGAACGCUGGCGGCGUGUCUAAUACAUGCAAGUCGAGCGAACAGACGAGGAGCUUGCUCCUCUGACGUUAGCGGCUGACGGGUGAGUAAAACGUGGAUAUCCUACCUAUACGACUGGGUUAACUUCGGGAAACCGGAGCUAAUACCGGAUAAUCUAUUGAACCGCAUGGUUCAAUAGUGAAAGACGGUUUUGCUGUCACUUUUAGAUGGAUCCGCGCCGCAUUAGCUAGUUGGUAAGGUAACGGCUUAACAAGGCAACGAUGCGUAGACGACCUGAGAGGGUGAUCGGCCACACUAGAACUGAGACACGGUCCAGACUCCUACGGGGGGCAGGAGUAGGGAAUCUUCCGCGAUGGGCGAGAGGUUGACGGAGCAACGACGCGUGAGUGAUGAAGGUCUUCGGAUCGUAAAACUCUGUUAUUAGGGAAGAACAAAUGUGUAAGUAACUAUGCACGUCUGGACGGUACCAAAUCAGAGAGCUACGGCUAACUACGUG
rnacentral:rRNA from 1 species